rnacentral:rRNA from 1 species
GACGAACGCUGGCGGCGUGCUUAACACAUGCAAGUCGAACGGAAAGGCCCUGCUUUUGUGGGGUGCUCGAGUGGCGAACGGGUGAGUAACACGUGAGUAACCUGCCCUUGACUUUGGGAUAACUUCAGGAAACUGGGGCUAAUACCGGAUAGGAGCUCCUGCUGCAUGGUGGGGGUUGGAAAGUUUCGGCGGUUGGGGAUGGACUCGCGGCUUAUCAGCUUGUUGGUGGGGUAGUGGCUUACCAAGGCUUUGACGGGUAGCCGGCCUGAGAGGGUGACCGGCCACAUUGGGACUGAGAUACGGCCCAGACUCCUACGGGAGGCAGCAGUGGGGAAUAUUGCACAAUGGGCGGAAGCCUGAUGCAGCAACGCCGCGUGCGGGAUGACGGCCUUCGGGUUGUAAACCGCUUUCGCCUGUGACGAAGCGUGAGUGACGGUAAUGGGUAAAGAAGCACCGGCUAACUACGUGCCAGCAGCCGCGGUGAUACGUAGGGUGCGAGCGUUGUCCGGAUUUAUUGGGCGUAAAGGGCUCGUAGGUGGUUGAUCGCGUCGGAAGUGUAAUCUUGGGGCUUAACCCUGAGCGUGCUUUCGAUACGGGUUGACUUGAGGAAGGUAGGGAAGAAUGGAGUUCCUGGUGGAGCGGUGGAAUGCGCAGAUAUCAGGAGGAACACCAGUGGCGAAGGCGGUUCUCUGGGCCUUUCCUGACGCUGAGGAGCGAAAGCGUGGGGAGCGAACAGGCUUAGAUACCCUGGUAGUCCACGCUGUAAACGGUGGGUACUAGGUGUGGGGUCCAUUCCACGGGUUCCGUGCCGUAGCUAACGCUUUAAGUACCCCGCCUGGGGAGUACGGCCGCAAGGCUAAAACUCAAAGGAAUUGACGGGGCCCCGCACAAGCGGCGGAGCAUGCGGAUUAAUUCGAUGCAACGCGUAGAGCCUUACCUGGGUUUGACAUGGAUCGGGAGUGCUCAGAGAUGGGUGUGCCUCUUUUGGGGUCGGUUCACAGGUGGUGCAUGGCUGUCGUCAGCUCGUGUCGUGAGAUGUUGGGUUAAGUCCCGCAACGAGCGCAACCCUUGUUCACUGUUGCCAGCACGUUAUGGUGGGGACUCAGUGGAGACCGCCGGGGUCAACUCGGAGGAAGGUGGGGAUGACGUCAAGUCAUCAUGCCCCUUAUGUCCAGGGCUUCACGCAUGCUACAAUGGCUGGUACAGAGAGUGGCGAGCCUGUGAGGGUGAGCGAAUCUCGGAAAGCCGGUCUCAGUUCGGAUUGGGGUCUGCAACUCGACCUCAUGAAGUCGGAGUCGCUAGUAAUCGCAGAUCAGCAACGCUGCGGUGAAUACGUUCCCGGG